rnacentral:rRNA from 1 species
AGAGUUUGAUCAUGGCUCAGGAUGAACGCUGGCGGCGCGCUUGGUACAUGCAAGUCGAACGAACCGAUUCUCGUUGGAUGGCCUUCUGAAGGGCGGAUCUUGAGAAAUCUUGUGAACCCCGGAUGGUGGUCUGAAUUCGAGACAGGUUAGUGGCGGACGGGUGAGUAACGCGUGGGUGACCUGUCCCGAAGUGGGGAACAACUGCUCGAAAGGGCAGCUAAUUCCGCAUAAUCUCGGUCAUUCAGUUGGCCGAUGAAAGGCUUCGGCCGCUUUGGGAGGGGCCCGCGUCCGAUUAGCUAGUUGGUGAGGUAAUGGCCCACCAAGGCUAUGAUCGGUAGCUGGUCUGAGAGGACGAUCAGCCACACUAGCACUGAAACACGGGCUAGACUCCUACGGGAGGCAGCAGUAAGGAAUAUUGCACAAUGGGCGAAAGCCUGAUGCAGCGACGCCGCGUGAGCGAUGAAGCCUCUAGGGGUGUAAAGCUCUUUUCUGUGGGACGAGGAAGGACG